CGCCAAGGUCGGCUUGAAGGGCAAGCCCAGCGAGCACCAACAGCGGUGUGACGAUAGAAGGUUCGUGAAGGGGAUGGUGAGGAUGGAGGCUCUCCACCCCGCCGCCAUGCCUGACGACAUUGUCACGCAGUUGCAGAUAUCAUGAUUGCGGCUGCCCAAAAAGUGUUUGAUCACGCAAUAUUUUUCCAUUACGGAAAUACUCGAUAGAGAUUCUGGUUCCUGAAGAAAUUUGUGAAUUGUCUAAACAACUCGAGGACGCAAACAUUGUAUCACUUACAUCAUCUAAGAUAUUAUUAAGAUGACCGUGAAGAGGAAGAGUUCUUAACGAACACUAUAAAAGAAUGAGUCCGCAGUUUCGCUCGGUUCGUUCAUUGGUUGAAGAGAACUUGAGUUGGAAACUAGUUUCCGUGCGGUUCAGGUAGAAGGUAGAAGUAAAUGAGGAAUAUAAUUUUUGUAUCACAAAUAAAUAUCUACACGCGUAAUGUAACUUAUCGUUUCCUAUAAAAUAGACGAUGGAAUUUGUGUGAAUUUGUUAAUUGCAAUCUCUUUUUAUGUCGAUUAACGACAGAUAAUCAGGUUCGCUACAAAAUUAUUGUUCAAAUUAAUUUUCUAACUAAUGGAAUUUCUAAUAUGAUGUAUUUUUCUCUUUUUGCUUCUACUCUUUUCGCUUAUUCCUCCUUCAUUUUUCCUCUGUUUCUAAUUAUGGUAAAACUGCGAGCAAUAAAUAAGUAGCUAUACUUACAUGUGUAUGAGAGUUUCGCCAAUUCUUUGGGGCGUAUUUACUCAGCUUAUUCUCAGGAUCUACAAAUAAGUACUCGCCGUCUGAAACGAUAAAAAUAAUGUUUGUUUCAGCGCAAGAGCAUUAAAUCCCGCUUUAAAAAUAUUUCUAAAUCCGAGAUUGAAUUUAAAUCGACAGUAAUUAUGAAUGAAUUUAUAAUUUUAGGUGCUGACGUAUCGCGCGUUGAAUUUCGCGGAAUAAUUGAGCUUUCGUGCAACACGUAUAUACGCCUCUAUAGUUUUCUUUGGUAUGUUGUGUCCACGGAACUCGAAGAUUCAUUUCCUUCGCACGUUCUUUGGCACGAUUGACAACGCGAGAUGCCGAUACUCCAUAAACGAGUGAAACAAUGAAAGAGGCCUGGCAAGAAGACGUUAGUGAAUGAGAGGGCCUCAAACCUGUCCAGCCUACAUGGUGCCAGACGCUCGAGCUCUUAUGGCACGAUAACGUGACAUGUUUUUCACGCUGGAACCCGAUUUGAAACCUCGAAUGCUGAUCGUGGAACCGUAACCAGAGUUCGGGCCCUCAAGGCGCAAUCUGUGCAAUCUACAAUUCCCAAUGCGACCGUCGUGCUGGCGAACUUGUUGAAGUCGCUGUUACAUGCAAAUGUAAAACACCGUUUUUCAUGAUCGAACAAUAGUGCUCAUGAAUGUGGCAUAGAUUUGUCUUCGACAGUAUAUACCAUCGGCAUCCGAAAUUGGUAACAAAAACUCUAACCAAUGUUUCUUUUCUUCUCUCGUUCAACUUUCCAUGUAUUAUUUGCUCUUAAGAACAAGGAUUGUUAUAAAAUUCGUAAUUGAGGUUUCGAAUGCAUUCUAAAUUGUAAUUAAUAUAAAUUUAAAUAACACGUAGAAUGUUCAUCCGCUGUUCAUAAAAAUUA